UACGUAGGGUGCAAGCGUUAAUCGGAAUUACUGGGCGUAAAGCGUGCGCAGGCGGUUGUGUAAGACAGGUGUGAAAUCCCCGGGCUUAACCUGGGAACUGCAUUUGUGACUGCAUAGCUAGAGUACGGUAGAGGGGGAUGGAAUUCCGCGUGUAGCAGUGAAAUGCGUAGAUAUGCGGAGGAACACCGAUGGCGAAGGCAAUCCCCUGGACCUGUACUGACGCUCAUGCACGAAAGCGUGGGGAGCAAACAGG
rnacentral:rRNA from 1 species